rnacentral:rRNA from 1 species
AGGGUUUGAUCAUGGCUCAGGACGAACGCUGGCGGCAUGCCUAACACAUGCAAGUCAAGGAGUGCCUUCGGGCACUACUGGCAGACGGGUGAGUAACACGUAGGUCAUCUGCCUCCAUCUCAGUGACAACUCCCGGAAACGGGAGCUAAACACUGGCGAGGUACUUCGGUAUCAAAGGGGCAACCCGGAUGGAGAUGAGCCUGCGGCUGAUUAGCUAGUUGGUGAGGUAAUGGCUCACCAAGGCCACGAUCAGUAGCUGGUCUGAGAGGACGAACAGCCACACUGGAACUGAGACACGGUCCAGACUCCUACGGGAGGCAGCAGUGAGGAAUAUUGCACAAUGGAGGAAACUCUGAUGCAGCGAUGCCGUGUGCGGGAUGAAGGGGCUUUGCCUUGUAAACCGCUGUCGGAUGGGACGAAAGCUCUGGUCGCCAGAGCAGGACGGUACCAUCAAAGGAAGGGACGGCUAACUACGUGCCAGCAGCCGCGGUAAUACGUAGGUCCCGAGCGUUGUCCGGAAUUACUGGGUGUAAAGGGUGCGCAGGCGGUUUUGUGCGUCAGAAGUGAAAUAUCACGGCUCAACCGUGAGGGUGCUUUUGAUACGGCAAGACUUGAGUACGAGAGAGGAUGAUAGAAUUCCUGGUGUAGCGGUGAAAUGCGUAGAUAUCAGGAGGAAUACCGGUGGCGAAGGCGGUCAUCUGGCUCGUAACUGACGCUCAGGCACGAAAGUGUGGGGAGCAAACAGGAUUAGAUACCCUGGUAGUCCACACCUUAAACGAUGUAUGCUUGGUGUUGGAGUAGCAAUACUUCAGUGCCGAAGGAAACCUCUUAAGCAUACCACCUGGGGAGUACGAUCG